GACGAACGCUGGCGGCGUGCCUAAUACAUGCAAGUAGAACGCCGAAGGAGGAGCUUGCUCUUCUGGAUGAGUUGCGAACGGGUGAGUAACGCGUAGGUAACCUGCCUGGUAGCGGGGGAUAACUAUUGGAAACGAUAGCUAAUACCGCAUAACAGUAGAUGUUGCAUGACAUUUACUUAAAAGGUGCAAUUGCAUCACUACCAGAUGGACCUGCGUUGUAUUAGCUAGUUGGUGGGGUAACGGCUCACCAAGGCGACGAUACAUAGCCGACCUGAGAGGGUGAUCGGCCACACUGGGACUGAGACACGGCCCAGACUCCUACGGGAGGCAGCAGUAGGGAAUCUUCGGCAAUGGACGGAAGUCUGACCGAGCAACGCCGCGUGAGUGAAGAAGGUUUUCGGAUCGUAAAGCCCUGUUGUAAGAGAAGAACGAGUGUGAGAGUGGAAAGUUCACACUGUGACGGUAUCUUACCAGAAAGAGACGGCUAACUACGUG
rnacentral:rRNA from 1 species